UUUAUAACUGCUCUUGAGUAUGAUAAAUAAAUAAUUCAAUUAAUUAAUUUAUAAACGCUAUUUCAACCCUCAAACUCUAAAGGUAGCAUUAACUAGGUAUUAAGAAACCUUCAGCCAGCCCUUUAGUUUGCAAGUUGUCAUGGUAACCGUAUAUGGAUAGCUAGGUUAUUGUAACGCUAGUGAACAACUGCGCUAAAAAGGGUAUUAGCAGAUAAAAGAAAAUACAGACACUCGCAAAGGUAACUUUUGAAUGGCUACUUUAGUAGACAACUUAAUUGAAGAUGAAGCCGAAAGAGAGAGACUUCUUGCUAAGCCCACCUGCUUUAUCAUCGUUGGAAGACCGGGUGUUGGCAAAUCCACCUUGGCCAAAAAAAUUGCAGAGUCCUGGAGGUGUAUCCUUAUUGAUGAUACCAAUCUUCUCAACACACACAUAAAAA